GACGCCAAGAUGGCGGCCCCCGUGUUGCGGUGCUUUUCCCGGGGCCGGUGGUUUGGGACCCCAGGCCCAUCAGCAGUCUUGCUCCUGGGACCGCGUGAGGCCCAUUCGGGCGCUCAGGGGUUGCUAGCGAUGCAGAAGGCUCGCGGUCUUUUCAAGGAGUUCUUCCCCGAGAGGGGUACGAAGAUAGAGCUCCCAGAGCUCUUUGACCGUGGCACGGGCAACUUUCCCCAGACCAUCUACUGCGGUUUCGACCCCACGGCCGACUCGCUUCACGUGGGGCAUCUGCUAGCGCUGCUGGGCCUGUUUCACUUCCAGCGAGCGGGCCACAAUGUAAUCGCACUGGUAGGAGGUGCCACCGCGCGCCUGGGAGACCCCAGCGGCCGUACCAAGGAGCGGGAAGCGCUGGAACCAGAGCGCGUGCGAAGCAAUGCGCGUGCCCUACGCCAAGGGCUCGAGGCCAUGGUGGCUAAUCACCAGCAGCUCUUCGCGAAUGGGCGGACCUGGGGAAGCUUCACCGUACUGGACAAUGCGGCCUGGUACCAGAAGCAGCACCUGGUGGACUUCCUAACGGCUGUGGGUGGGCAUUUCCGCAUGGGCACGCUCCUGAGUCGUCAGAGCGUCCAAACCCGGCUCAAGAGUCCCGAGGGCAUGAGCUUGGCAGAGUUUUUAUACCAGGUGCUCCAGGCUUAUGACUUUUAUUAUUUGUUCAAGCAUUAUGGAUGCCGGGUCCAGUUGGGUGGAUCUGAUCAGCUGGGCAAUAUCGUGUCCGGAUACGAGUUUAUCCACAAGUUGACUGGAGAAGAUGUAUUUGGAAUCACUGUUCCUCUAAUUACAAGUACAACCGGAGCAAAAUUGGGAAAGUCGGCUGGUAAUGCUGUUUGGCUAAGCCGAGAGAAGACCUCUCCAUUUGAAUUGUAUCAGUUCUUUGUCCGGCAGCAGGAUGAUUUGGUAGAAAGGUACCUGAAGCUCUUCACUUUCCUGCCCCUUCCAGAGAUUGACCACAUCAUGCAGCUGCAUGUUAAAGAGCCGGAAAAGCGGGGUCCUCAGAAGCGACUCGCUGCAGAAGUUACAAAGCUCGUUCAUGGACAAGAAGGGCUGGAUUCUGCUAAAAGGUGUACGCAAGCCCUUUAUCACAGCAGCAUCGAUGCCCUGGAGGUCAUGUCUGAUCAAGAGUUAAGAGAGUUGUUUAAAGAAGCUUCAUUUUCUGAAUUAGUUCUUGACCCAGGAACAAGUGUCCUAGAUACAUGCCGCAAAGCAAAUGCCAUUCCAGAUGGUCCCCGAGGGCAUCGGAUGAUAACAGAAGGUGGAGUCAGUAUUAAUCACAGACAAGUAACGAAUCCUGAGUGUGUUUUGGUUGUUGGACAACAUAUUCUUAAGAAUGGACUUUCAUUACUAAAAAUAGGAAAAAGGAAUUUCUACAUUAUAAAAUGGCUUCAGCUAUGAUGAAAAAUCCUUCAGGUGGUUCAAACUUACCCAUCUCCUAAGAUGUACCAAAGGCUGGCUCCAGAACUUACACUUUUGCUCAUGUUAUCAAGAAUUGACAGUCUCAAACUCUCCCAGUCCCUGUUUGUUCCGAAUUUGCUUAAGCUGCUGAGGCACAUGCUAAGCCCCGCGUUUCGGGUGACAAGGCAGACCACGUGGCCGUGCAGGCAAGCAGCAGGAGAGGCUGAUCCACUAGUCCCGGGCAGAUCUCUGACCCUUUAAAGAGGAAAUGUCCAGAAGUAUUAACUGCCACCUCUGGAAUCUUAAUUCCCUACCACAAUAUUAAAGUCAAAACUAGGAGGAAAGCCUUUUGUUAUUUAAAAAAAUGUUAAAACUAGAACUAAUGCCAUCUUAGAAGGAUUAGUUAGGUAAGAGAAACAUUAAAAAAUGGAACACAGACAAGAGAUAGAUGCUAUUAUACAAAGAGCUUCAGUGGUUUUGAAGACAGUGUUUCAGUGAGAACCAAAGGUACAUUUCCAUUCUGAAGCAAGAGACUCACAUUUUUAGUUUCUCUUCUGCUGUCCUGAAUUAACUGUUAAAAGAUACGUUAAAACAUGCAGUUUAACAAGCAAAAUUUAAAUACCAAUAGCUUGAAUUUCAAAAGUGCAGGAUAAUUUCCUCUUUAAAUUAUCUUUCCGUGCGCAUCUUCUAUAUUGUAAGCAAAAGAAAGGCAUGUCAACAAUUUAUGAAGUAUACAUUGUUAUAUAAUUUAAAAUUCCUAUUAAACUAAAAUGAUCUAACCUUAGCACAACAUCCCACAUUAAUGUUCAGUGUACAGUGUGUUGUUUCCAGAUGAUUAUGUUGCACCAAACAACUAGGC